CUCAGAAUGAACGCUGGCGGCGUGCUUAACACAUGCAAGUCGCACGAGAAAGUUCAGCUUGCUGAAAUGAGUAAAGUGGCGCACGGGUGAGUAACGCGUGGGUAAUCUGCCCUUGAAUUCGGGAUAACGUUGCGAAAGCGGCGCUAAUACCGAAUGAAGUCCUUUAUGCUUCGGCAUUUUGGAUGAAAGGUGACCUCUCUAUAGAAGUUACUGUUUGAGGAUGAGCCCGCGUACCAUUAGCUUGUUGGUAGGGUAACGGCCUACCAAGGCUGCGAUGGUUAGCUGGUCUGAGAGGAUGAUCAGCCACACUGGAACUGGAACACGGUCCAGACUCCUACGGGAGGCAGCAGCGAGGAAUUUUGCGCAAUGGGGGCAACCCUGACGCAGCAACGCCGCGUGAGUGAUGAAGGCUUUCGGGUCGUAAAGCUCUGUCAAGAGGGAAGAAAUUGCGGCAGGUGAAUAUCCUGUCGUAUUGACGGUACCUCUGAAGGAAGCGCCGGCUAACUCCGUGCCAGCAGCCGCGGUAAUACGGGGGGCGCAAGCGUUAUUCGGAAUUAUUGGGCGUAAAGGGCGCGUAGGCGGUCUGUUAAGUCAGAUGUGAAAGCCCGGGGCUUAACCUCGGAAGCGCAUUUGAUACUGGCAGACUUGAGUAUGGGAGAGGGAAGUGGAAUUCCUGGUGUAGAGGUGAAAUCUGUAGAUCUCAGGAGGAACACCGGUGGCGAAGGCGACUUCCUGGACCAAUACUGACGCUGAGGCGCGAAGGCGUGGGGAGCAAACAGGAUUAGAUACCCUGGUAGUCCACGCAGUAAACGGUGAUCACUAGGUGUAGCGGGUAUUGACCCCUGCUGUG
rnacentral:rRNA from 1 species